rnacentral:rRNA from 1 species
UUCUGUGCCGGAGUUAACGCAAUAAGUACCCCGCCUGGGGAGUACGACCGCAAGGUUGAAACUCAAAGGAAUUGACGGGGGCCCGCACAAGCGGUGGAGUAUGUGGUUUAAUUCGACGCAACGCGAAGAACCUUACCAGGUCUUGACAUUGAUGGACAGAACCAGAGAUGGUUCCUCUUCUUCGGAAGCCAGAAAACAGGUGGUGCACGGUUGUCGUCAGCUCGUGUCGUGAGAUGUUGGGUUAAGUCCCGCAACGAGCGCAACCCCUAUCUUAUGUUGCCAGCACUUCGGGUGGGAACUCAUGAGAGACUGCCGCAGACAAUGCGGAGGAAGGCGGGGAUGACGUCAAAUCAUCAUGCCCCUUAUGACCUGGGCUACACACGUACUACAAUGGGAGUUAAUAGACGGAAGCGAGAUCGCGAGAUGGAGCAAACCCGAGAAACACUCUCUCAGUUCGGAUCGUAGGCUGCAACUCGCCUACGUGAAGUCGGAAUCGCUAGUAAUCGCAGGUCAGCAUACUGCGGUGAAUACGUUCCCGGGCCUUGUACACAC